GAGGGUUUAGCUCAGUGGUAGAGCACAUGCUUAGCAUGCAUGAGGUCCUGGGUUCAAUCCCCAGUACCUCCU
rnacentral:tRNA from 1 species